rnacentral:sRNA from 1 species
GCAAAAAUUGUAUUAAAAAAAAGAAAAAAAUAAAUUAGAAAUUUGGGAAUAGAAUUUGAAUUUGUUUUUUUGGUGUGGCUCAACCGCGGAGUGCCGCUUUUCUUCCCAUCUCUGAUUGGAUUAAUUUCUUUUGGAAGUCCAUCGAUUUCAAAAGGACAUUCAAGGACUCAUUUACUGUAGGAGAUCCUAGAUUGGAGAUUGGAGAUUUUUUUUAGAUGGGAGAUUUUUGCACAGCCCAGAAUUUUUAAAACGGCAUGAGAUCUAUCUUUCCAGAUGACAUUCAAAAAAUGAUAGACAUUCGUUCCUUCUUACUUGGGAUUCCAUUGCAGGAUAUUCAAAUUCAGCUUAUCCAAGAAUGCCAGUAGCAAUAAGCAAACAUAAUUUUGCCAAACUUUUUUGUUCUCUGCACUGCGGUCUGCCAUCGGCUGAUGCUGCCAGUGAUGUUUUGUGUUUGUCAUUUGGUUUGUCUGUUUGCGCUUUCCUUUUUUGGUCUUAAAAUCUUAUUUCUACCAAAGAA